rnacentral:tRNA from 1 species
GGGGAUAGCUCAGUGGUAGAGCAUGUGCUUAGCAUACACAAGGUCCUGGGUUCAAUCCCCAGUGCCUCCA